rnacentral:lncRNA from 1 species
CGGUCAUCACAUGCCUGAUCUAGAUAAUGGGUUUGGGGCAUGAUAGAAAUAUUAGGAAUGUGCAAUAUAUUCAUUUUCCAUGAGAGUCGAUUGUGAUCUAAUUAAACUAACAAUCAAAAUCUAUUAUAAAAUUAAUAUUAAAUUAAACUAAAAACUUACAGACCAGAGGUAUACAAUACAUUGUCUUAAGAUGAUUUCCAACCUUCGUGCAGGAUCAAACUCAAGAAGUCUGCCUCAAGAUACAACCGAUAACCUUUCCUGCAAAUGUGACUAUAAAGAAGAUGACAGAGCUUCAUUCCAGCAAAUAAAAGAUCAAAGAAAUAAAAUACUUGAAAG